GUGGGGAAUAUUGCACAAUGGACGAAAGUCUGAUGCAGCAACGCCGCGUGCGCGAUGAAGGCCUUCGGGUCGUAAAGCGCUUUUCGGGAGGAUGAGGAAGGACAGUACUCCCGGAAUAAGUCACGGCUAACUACGUGCCAGCAGCCGCGGUAAAACGUAGGUGGCGAGCGUUAUCCGGAUUUACUGGGCGUAAAGCGCGUUCAGGCGGUCUGGCAAGUCGGGCAUGAAAUCUCCGAGCUCAACUCGGAGAGGUUGUCCGAUACUGCUGGACUUGAGGACAGUAGAGGAGGGUGGAAUUCCGAGUGUAGCGGUAAAAUGCGUAGAUAUUCGGAGGAACACCAGUGGCGAAGGCGGCCCUCUGGACUGCUCCUGACGCUCAAACGCGAAGGCCAGGGGAGAGAACGGGAUUAGAUACCCGAGUAGUCC
rnacentral:rRNA from 1 species